AAAAGAACAAAGACAAUCUCGAAGUUUAUGUAAAUUUCACUUUAGAAAACAAGAAAGGAAAGAAAAAGUGCAAUUCUUUGGUUCAACUUUUGGUGAAUUUAUAGUGCACAUAUAGAUUUUGCAGGAAGUUGAACAGAAACCAAGCAAUCCUACUGAGAAAUAUGGACGGCAAGUUAUGAACGUCACAUCCGCAUAUCAACUUCUUAUCUAGAAAUUGUUGAUAAUGGCUUUCAUCAUAUGCAAUGCGUUCCCCAUCAACGCUAUCACCUAAUCAGCAUACGCAAGCCACAGCACGGACGGUGAGGAUGGAAUCACAGAAUUAAAAAAUAAAUCACGGAGCUUGCCUACAAGGAAAAGUGGCCAGUAUAAAUAUCACUAGCGUGCACACAAGUUCCUUGUACCAGUGAGCAGGCAAGCAACUAAAGGAGUUAAUCAAAAGAAGUGAAGGCAGAAAAGGAAACGGGACACUCUGGAAAUGGUGCAAGAGGAAAUCAGAAAGGGCCCUUGGACAGAACAAGAAGAUGUCCAACUGGUUUUAUGUGUGAACGUGUACGGUGAUCGCCGAUGGGAUUUCAUCUCUAAGGUUUCAGGUUUGGGUGGAGGGAGACAAAUAAAAUAGGUAUGCUUAUUUUGGGCAUGGCAUGGUAAUUGCAAGGAGCAAAGUUUAACCACUUACUUUGUUGUAGGUUUGAAAAGAACAGGUAAAAGUUGCAGGUUACGUUGGGUUAAUUACCUGCACCCUGGUCUGAAACGAGGCAAGAUGACUCCUCAUGAAGAGCGCCUUGUCCUUGAGCUUCACUCCAAGUGGGGAAAUAGGUUGGCGAUUAUUGGUUAAUUUAAUGUUAUUUGACAACAUAACGACAUAAUCUUACCUCUAUUUGGAUUCUAUUUUUUGUUAUUGGGUUGUCAUUCUAGUUAUUUCAAUGUAACACAUGGAUAAAUCAUUCGCAGAUGGUCAAGGAUUGCUCGUAAAUUACCUGGGAGGACUGAUAACGAGAUCAAGAACUACUGGAGAACCCAUAUGAGGAAGAAGGCUCAAGAGAGGAAAAAGGCUGCCAUAUCUCCCUCAUCAUCAUCAUCAUCAUCAUCAUCACCAUCAUUCUCCAACUGUUCCUCCUCAAUAUCCAACGGUAACAGCCCAAGUAUGGAAUCUGGGCCAAUCACUGAGACAAAGGAGCGAAGCUUUUAUGACACUGGAGGUCUUGAAAUGCUCACUGCCAAGGGAAACAAGACUGGUCAAGCAGAGGAAGAAAGGUUGCAGAAGGUGUAUUCCAUGGACGAAAUAUGGAAAGAUAUUGAGUUUUCUGACAGUGAUGCAAUUCAACCUGUGUAUGACGGUUACGGCGAAGGAGGCUGCAACUUCUCCAGUCAAACAAUGGCUUCUCCUGUGUGGGAUUAUUGCCCUGUCUCGCUGUGGAUGAUGGAUGAAGACGAGAGUAAGAUGUUUCCUCCCAUAAGCGAUCAAUUUUAUUCUUUUUACAACCAAGAGAGCACGAUUUUAACUGGCUAGCUAGAUGUUGAUUUAUUCCCUAGGUAUUUGUUGAUACAAUUUUAGCUGCUAUAUGGAAGCCUAACCUGUAUUUGUAUAGCAUGGGGUUGUCUGUCCAAACUACUUGAUGUGGUUCUCCUCAUUGAUCUCCCAGUCAAUGUAAACAUCUGAUGGGAACCAUAGUCAUGGGUCAGUGUCUGCUGUUCUGUGUUUUUUACUAUGUACCACUGGGAAGAGUUCAUAAGAAGCUCUUCAGGGGACUCAGAUUUCAGCAUAUUGCCUAAUGUAAGAUAGGGGUGCUUAAAUUUUGUUACUCUAUGAAUGUAAAAUAUAAGUUUCCUUUUAAAGUAGUUGAUGUUAAAUGAACAACACAAACAGCAACUCCACUCUGAGAACCCCUCUCCCCAACACCCUUCCGUCCAAUACCCCCAAUGAAAGGAACUUAAAGGCAAUCCUUUCAUCGCCUCCUUGUUCCGUCCUCCCGAAUCUUCUUUUGUCUUUUUAACUUGGUAGGGGCAACAGAAUUUCGUGAUUUAGAACAUUUACGAAAUAUGCACAAAUAUUGAUGUCAAAACUAAUUUUCCUUACCAGUCUCUAGCAGUCACAAGGUUUUCAUGUCCAAAUAGAAACAACCCAAGGGCUAAAUACAUGUCAAACUAGAUUAUCAUUUUAGUAUCAGAGGUCAAAUACAUGAUUACAUGCAAUUUAUCAUGAUUCUAAGACAAAUUUUUGGUUUCGAUUUCAUCUGUUUUAGGUACACCAAUACUAUUUCAAAGAAAGCCUAGUUUAGUUAGCAUACAUACAAGAGAAAAACAGGAUCUCUUUAACUCCUGUCCAGGCAAUAAAAUUCGAGCAUGAGGUAGUUUCAAUUCAUCUGCUUUAUUUGCCUUUUCCCUUAUUACCAUUAGAUCACAGUAACUUCUAUCUAGCAUUUAUACUUGUCUCUUCUGUGUGUGGUUCUGCAAGUUGUACAUCAAGCAGAAAAUAAGUAGUGUAUAAAAAUUAUUCAUAGACAAACCAGAAUGUUUUCUGCAGCAAUCUUAUUUACUCGUGCUUCCGCCACAAAAAUGUCUUGAGGAACAAUCUACACUGUCCAAAGUAUAUUCUCAGCUAGGACUAUAAUAUAUCCUGCAAUCUAGUAUGGAGUACUACAC
rnacentral:lncRNA from 1 species